CUAACAUUUUAAAGAAUAUUGAUUUGUUAGUUCUUUUGCAUCUCUUUUACAGAAACUGAAUCCAGUUUCUGCUCUCUGUGCGUUUCAUGAAACUAAGUAAGAAAUGAAAAAAACCCAGUACGAGCUGGAAAGGGAUGAAAGGGUAAGGGAGGUCCAGGAACUUUUUGCGUCUCUGGGUAUUCCAAUACUAGCUCAGGAUGUUAGAGAUGUUUUUUCCAAAAAGGAAAAGUGCAUGGGGAAGACAAUAGAGUCUGACAAUGAAUAUGACCCAUCCUCUGACAUUGAUAACCAAUGUGACAGUGAUGAUGACUACGAUGAUGACCUAAAUAAUGAGGAUAAUACUGAGGUACGAGCGAUGGUUCCAGGAACUCGCCCUAAGAAGCAAAAGACGGCACAAAUGGCGGCUGCAAACCAGCUGCCACUGUGCUCGCCUACCAAAUUUACUAGGAAACAGGCAGCCAGGCCUACUCGAGGCCGUCCACCACCUAGGGAUGCAAACCAGCUGCCA